GCUACGAUGGGUAGGGGUUCUUAGUGGAAGGUCCCCCACACUGGCACUGAGAUACGGGCCAGACUCCUACGGGAGGCAGCAGUAGGGAAUAUUGGUCAAUGGGCGCAAGCCUGAACCAGCCAUGCCGCGUGCAGGAUGAAGGCUCUCUGAGUUGUAAACUGCUUUUGUACAGGAGCAAAAAAAUCCCUGCGGGGGUUCUUGAGAGUACUGUAAGAAUAAGCACCGGCUAAUUCCGUGCCAGCAGCCGCGGUAAUACGGGAGGUGCAAGCGUUAUCCGGUUUUAUUGGGUUUAAAGGGUGCGUAGGCGGCUUAUUAAGUCAGUUGUGAAAUCCUAGUGCUUAACGCUAGAACUGCGAUUGAUACUAUUAGGCUUGAGUUAAAGAAGAGGUAA
rnacentral:rRNA from 1 species